GAGGAAAGCAAGGUUGCUGAAAACUAUCCCCAUGACAACUUAGAAUGGCACACAACGGACUACCAACAGACUAGACCCUAAGGCAGAAGCUCCAGCCAAGAGAAUUCUGACUCACUCUUGCCCCACCAGAACCCGACAGGAUCAGGUACUGUCUCCUCUGUGUCUCAUGCUCACCCACCUCAUGGUGGCCCUUCCCACCAAUCUCUCUUGAAAUAUGCA